rnacentral:rRNA from 1 species
GACGAACGCUGGCGGCGUGCUUAACACAUGCAAGUCGAACGCAGUGGCGAACGGGUGAGUAACGCGUAAUCAACCUGCCCUUCAGAGGGGGACAACAGUUGGAAACGACUGCUAAUACCGCAUACUGUAGGAGGGGAUUGCGUCUGAUUAGCUAGUUGGGGGGGUAACGGCCCACCAAGGCGAUGAUCAGUAGCCGGUCUGGGAGGGUGGACGGCCACAUUGGGACUGAGACACGGCCCAGACUCCGACGGGAGGCAGCAGUUGGGGAACUUCCGCAAUGGACGGAAGUCUGACGGAGCAACGCCGCGUGAGUGAUGACGGCCUUCGGGUUGUAAAGCUCUGUUAAUCGGGACGCGGUACCGAAAUAGAAAGCCACGGCUAACUACGUGCCAGCCGCCGCGGUAAUAC